AGACUGGUUUCCUUGGAAACUGUCUGGAGAGGAGGAAACUGUGUGAGAUGAAACUGAAGGAUGGGGUGGUGCCAGAUGAUAGAGGGAAUUUAAUGACCGGCAAAGGAAUAUGAAUUUUAUCCAAAAGGCAAUUAAGGAGCCACUGAAAAUGUUUCAAGUAGAGGAGUGACAUGUAGAAGAAAAGAUUAUUAUGGAAGCAAUCUGAUGGAUGGGUUGUAGGGGUAGAAGAAUGUUUUGGUAGAAUAAAGAAUUUUGACAAUUAAUUCUUCUGCUCUGUUAAAAUAAUCCAUAUACAUAAUAAUUAGCAUUUCUAUUGAGGCAGUGGAAAUCGAGCAAGAGAGGAGGGGUCAGAAGUGACACAUGAUGUGGAGGUGGAAUUGACAGGACUUGAUAACUAAUCAGGGAUGACAGAGCAGGGAGAUGCAAGAGUCAACAAUGAGCCCACGAUUGAGAACAUAAGACAAUGACUGAGAGAAUGUCUCCAAAGGAUGCUUCUUGGAUGGAUUAGAAGGUUUCCUAGAGGAGUCGGCAAUCCUCUUCUCUUGGAGGAAACAAACGCAGUAACAUUGAUGACGACAGCUCCCAUCCCAGAAGUGGGUGAUGGUGACUGCCUUUGAAGACUCAUGAGAAAACUGAGAUCUCUAAAAGGUUGAUAAAACACAGCUCCUGCACUCUGAGCCAAGGUGGAAGGGAUAGUGUACAUGUGAGAAUGGGCUCAGAUUGGAACCUGGUCUUUUGUUUUGUUCAUCAGCACGGGCCAGCAGCUAUUGACUACAAAAGGUAUGGGGAAAGGAGGAGGAAGAAAUCUAUGAUGUUAGAGGUCUACAAUUUGCAAGAUUACAAUGGAGUAUUCCAGCUGUUCACCUGUCAUCUCUCAUUCUUGCCAUUAAAUAAGCCUUUAUUCUAUCAUAGAAUUUUUUUCAUGACUUCUUUUACUGCUGCUUAUCUUUGUAGUCACUGAUGAGUUAAAUGGUUCAAUCUUCUCAGAUCCUCCCAGUGCCUUUCCAUUUCAUUCAAUGUAAUACUCAUUUAAAAAUUUCUGAGGUUGACCAUUUGAAUGUUAAGUGAUGAAAAGAUGGGCCCUGAGAGAGUAAAGGAGCUUUGCCAUUUCUCAAAUUCAAUCCAACCCAAUUCUUAUCAUCUUGUUAUUUAUUUGUGUUAUCUAUCAUGAUUCUGUAGGGUGUCCACUUAAAUGUGUAUUGCUAUCUAGGUAGUUCUUCACCUGCUUGGUCUUUCCUUUGCAAAUGGAUAAGAUCACUUAGAAUAAUCACAGAUUUCUUCCAGGAGGCUCUAUGAUAUUCUGGGACUUGUUCCCAAAACAGGAACAUCUGGAAGAUGGGAUCAAAUGAUCCAUGUGAAAAACUCUAUAUUCAAUCUCUUCUAUCACAGUCAUGAAGACAUAUAUCUGUAUGUAGGAAUUAUAUAUACAUAUAAAGCAUACACCUAUGUUUUAUAUCUUAAUGUUUAUUAUCAGGAGGCCAAUGAAAAUAGAUU
rnacentral:lncRNA from 1 species